rnacentral:rRNA from 1 species
UACGUAGGGUCCAAGCGUUACUCGGAAUUACUGGGCGUAAAGCGUGCGCAGGCGGUUGUGUAAGUCAGAUGUGAAAUCCCCGGGCUCAACCUGGGAAUUGCAUUUGAGACUGCACGGCUAGAGUGUGUCAGAGGGGGGUAGAAUUCCACGUGUAGCAGUGAAAUGCGUAGAGAUGUGGAGGAAUACCGAUGGCGAAGGCAGCCCCCUGGGAUAACACUGACGCUCAUGCACGAAAGCGUGGGGAGCAAACAGG